GCAGAGGCGGGGAAGGAGUCACGGGGCGCGCACGCCGGGGAAGACUACAAGGUGCAGAUUGAUGAGUAUGAUCACUCCAAGCCCAUCCAGGGGCAACAGAAGAAGCCCUUUGAGGUGCACUGGAGGAAGCACACCCUGUCCUAUGUGGACGUCGGCACUGGGAAGGUCACUGUGGAAUAUAGACCCAUAAUUGACAAAACUUUGAACGAGGCUGACUGUGCCACUGUCCCCCCAGCCAUUCACUCCUACUGAUGAGACAAGAUGUGGUGAUGACAGAAUCAGCUUUUUGCACAGCCAGAGGACAACACAUCACACACAAGAAACAGUUGUGCUCAUGUGAUGGGGGCCUCAGCACUAGGAAGGAGUGGACUGUUGGCGCACGCAGCAGCUUGAAUAAAUCUGAAAGUCACUACGCUGCGUAAGAGAAGCCAAAUAAAGCGCAUGCUGUGUACAGAGGGUGUCGAGAAUGCCUCCUACGUGACGGAAAGCAGAUCCGUGGUUCCCUGCAGACUGGCAGGAGCAGAUUCCAAAGGCACAGGAAGAAGCUUGCAGUACAAAGAUAAAAAUCUAAAGUGGUUGCUGUGGAGGACAGGGGUCAGUGGUGGAAGUGAGACCGAAAUAGACUCUGAAGUAAUAUCUGGACUUUGAAAUUGCAGCUGCUCCCAACCCCAGAACCUUUGCUGUCUUGGGACGGAUCACCGCUGCAAGAGGGGAAGUUGCUACUGUGAUGAAUUCUGCCAUGUGGCACC
rnacentral:lncRNA from 10 species